rnacentral:tRNA from 1 species
GCGGCGGUAGUUCAGUGGUAGAACGUCUCCUUGCCAAGGAGAAGGUCGCCGGUUCAAGUCCGGUUCGCCGCUCAA